rnacentral:tRNA from 1 species
AGGUGGGUGGCGUAAGUUUAGCGUGUGCGAUUUCGGCUCGUAAGGAGUAAGAGUUUACCUCACAUU